rnacentral:tRNA from 1 species
GCUGUUGUGGCACAGUCGGUAGCGCACUGCCUUGGUAAGGCAGAGGUCACGGGUUCAAGUCCCGUCAACAGCUCCA